AGAGUACAUGUCAGAUCAUUAAUUGUGAAUAUAGGUGUAAUAUAGUCAACUUGUUGUGAGAUAUAGCAGGCUUUGCUUGUAUCCAUUUUGGAAAACAAGUGGUGGACAUCCUGAAUGGGAUUUAGUCAUCUGAAUGUCUGUUUCUUGAGUCAUGGUACUAAAAAUUUGCAAUCAUUUGGUGGAAUACUGAAAUGCAUCUCUUACUGAAGAUCUUCAGUUGCCUAUGUAUUGGAGCCGUAGUCUGUUUUGCUCGAAGUAAACUAACUUGCUUUGUGUUCUUUUGGUACUUUGUACAGGCAAGGACAAGAUUAAGUGAUCUUUGCUUGCUGAUGAUUAUGGAAUUUCCAGACUGAUCCCAAACUGUGUAGUUGAUGUAUGUAAAGUGAGUAGAGUGACUGUCUUGUGACUGCUGAUUAAGAUAUUUGCUGCAUGAUCAGAUGUUUACAUCUGACUUACUAGGAUGAAUUGUUGAGGAGGUGUAUCUUCCUGAUCAGAUGGCCACAGCUAACUUAUUUGGUGGUUUAUCUAUUAUGCUGCUCUAGAUUAUCAGGCGUUAAAUCUUGUUCUAAUCUUUUGUCUACACGUAAUCUCCCACAAACAAAACUUGAUAACAUGAGAAUGGCCAAGGUCUACAUUUGUUCAGCACCCAUCACUCAGGAUGUCGUUCCUGAUGUAUUACAGGGAGAAAUGACCAGCGUUUCUCAGUCAUCCAGAGUCGUCCAAAGCCCAGCAGUUGUUGGCAUUAUGCCUUAAACAAGGGGGAGAGGUCGAACCUCUUAAACAGAAACAAAACAUGGAGUUGCAGCCCCUAUAGUAUCUGCUCUAAGCAAUUCCCUGUUUCCAUAAUUCCUAAUCUGACAUAUCAGAUUGUGGAAAGGUGAAUCCUGUCCUGCUCCUUGGAUUAGAUCCAGUGCUGCCUUCGAAUCCGUUUCCAGGAUCACUCUCCUUUCUCCUGAGCUCCACGCCAUUUCCAUCCCUUUUGAGUACUCCCCAUCGCUCUACUGUCGUAUUGUCUGUUAGCCCAAUAUUCACUGCGAAGCCAGCUUUCCAUCUUUCCCAGCAUUAUGCCUUUCGUUGGCAUAGUCUCUAACCAAAUUCUCAUAUUCAUCUCCUAUUUUCCCAGCAUUAUUGCGCUGAACUGAAUUCCCCAUGAGAAAGAAGUACCAGAUGAUUUCCGAUAAGUUCUCAAGUGUAUUUUGCAAAUGAGCUUCUUUAUCAAGACGCAAACAGCCUUGGUUGCCUGCCUAAACCGCCUCGCUGGAACGAGAUCAAUACAUUUUUUUUCGGAUCACUGCAUACCUUGACUAAGGCUAAUCACUAGUUGUAACUGCAUAAUCAUGAGUGUCGUGAAGAGGUUCGGCUUAAAGCAGCAAAAGAAGUGGGCCACAAUGAAAUGUUAAUUGGGUACUGCGCAGCAUUAAAAAUAUGAAAAAUCGUUCACCAUGUCAUUCACUCUUGAAAUGUUAAUCUUGUCAUUCACUCUUGAAAUGUUAAUCUUACGUCUCUUGUAGACUUAAAUUUGCAAAAUUUGGUCUCAACGUAAGUUGUAAACUAAUUUUUAAUAGAGUUAUUAUCACUUUACCCUCUUAAACUAUAUCACUACUAUCAGUUUACCCUAUAACGUUAUCUUUUAAUCAUUUUAUCCCCAUAAGUAAUUCAACUCAACGUGUUAAGAAAUUUUGGACAAAAAUACCCUUUUAUUUUAUGUUAUUACUACAUUAUUAUUAUCCCUUUCUUCGUUUGGAUUAUAGUGAUACAAUCGCUUUACUUCAUAACAUUAUUUUCUAGACAUUUUACCUUAUUAUUAAUCUAACUAGUAUGGUCAAAAAAUUUUAAAUAUAUUUACCCUUUUUUAUAUAUAAUUAAAAAUAAAAAAGAUUGGAAUGGUUAUUCUUCUUUUUUUCACUUUAAGAGAUCGAAAAAAUCUUUUUUUCAUACUUAUUACUACUAGGAAAAGAAAAAGAGAUAGGAAAGAAGGAGACAAAAAAUUAGAUUUUGCAAAAAAAAAGAAAAUAAAGAAAAGUCUAACAUUAUCGUAUUACUUUAAGGUUAUCGGGAUUAGAAUUGAAAUUUGGUGGUAAACAAAAAAGUGAAAUAAUUUUAAAAUAAUAAAAGUAUUUAAUUCUUUCUUAUUUGUAAUUUUUUUAAAAAAAAUUGAGCUCUCUCUCUCCCCCUCCCCCUCUCCAUAUUUCUAUUUUUUUCAAUAUUAAUAAGAUUGCCAAGAAAAAAAAUUAAUAUUUUGACUUUUUUUCUUGAUACUAAAAAGAAGAAGAGUCACUCUAAAUUUUUUAUUAUUUUGAUUAUGCAAAGAGGGGGGUAUUUUCUUCUAAAGUUUUUAACUUGCUAAGUUGGUUUAAUGGUGGGAUAAAUUGUCUAAAAAAUAAUUUUAGGUGGUAAAUUGAUAAUGAGACUAUAUUUUAUGGGGGUAAAGUGAUAAUAAUUUUAAGGGUUAAACAUGUUUUUUCACUUUAAUUAACAAACUCCGUUAAGUUUGAUCAUUAGUCUUGGGGGUAAAGUGACUAAAAGAUAACGUUAAGGGGGAAAUUGAUAGUAACACCAAACGUUAAGGGGGUAAAGUGAUAAUAACCUUUUUUAAUAUGAAAUCACCACACAAUCAACAUGUAGUCAUUUUCUUUUAUGUAUAAAUAGGUCAAAUUCAACUUUUUUAGUGUAAAAAAUGAAUAUGGAUUAGGUCAAAUUUCACUUUUUUUUUGGGAAAAAAAAUGAAUAUGAUUUGAGUCAGAUUCUACGUUUUAGGAACAAAAAUAAAGAUGGAUUGAAUCAUUUGUUUAACUAUAAAUGAGAUUUAACCUUUUUGUUUAAAAAAAAAAGAUCAUAUGUGAUCACUUGAUGGAUUAAGGAUAAAUUUUAUCGACUUAAUUUUGUAGGGGAUGCAAAGUUAGCAUUUAAAAGUGAAGAACGAAAAAAUUCGUUUGGUGAAAUGUGAAAAACAUUUUAAACGAUUUUUCCUUAAAAAUAAAAAUAAUCUGAAUUUGUAGUCCUUUCUUUUAUUUUUUUAUUUUUUGAAGAGAGAAUUUGAAAAUUUUCCGGUGGGCUUCUUUUCUUUCUCCUUAAAGUGUUUCAGUGUGAAUUUACCUUUUUCUUGAAGGGACAUAAUAUGUAUGUCACAAUAAAUAAAACUAGCCAGCUGAAUAUUUCUCAAGACUGUUAUGCUUUUCAUUUCAAGGGACAAUUGAUUAUUGAUCUAGGAAACAAGAAAAUCAAAAAGUAAUUGAGGAAUAUGCGAUAUUUUUCUAUAUCGUUUAGGAGGAAAUGUUGGGGUAGUCAAUUAAAAACCCUGAAAGAAUAAAAAACAAAACGAAAAAGUAAAAUCCGACUGGUACGUUACGACGUCGGAUUAUCCAUACAUUUCAUUUCCGUUCUCCCGUUGAACCCUACUAAAACCCUCUUCUGUGUCCAAUUUCAAGAAAUAGCCCCAAAAAGGGUUUAGAAGAAGGAAGUUGAAAAUGGCGAGCCGUCUCGUUCAUUUCCGACCGACGGCGAGACUCCGGUGGCUGUCUACAGCAACAGAAAUGGCAACGGCAACGGCAACGGCAACGGCAACGACAGCGACAACGGCUGUGACCCAAGAUACAGCAACGGCUGUGACCAAAGACAAGCCUAAUAUCUCUCUGUUCAGGAAACUGAAGGAGCUGAAUAUUGGACCAGGCUCAGACGCUAAUGUUUCAGUGGUUCUAGAUGAAUGGGCCAAUGAAAGUCAGGCUAAACGAUUCGAUGCUGCUAGACAAAUCAAUUUUCUCCGAUCCCGCAAACAUUACCAUCUAGCCCUCCAGGUAAUUUCUUGAAUUUGGUUAUUUUCUUCUUUCUUCUUCUUGUUUUUUUUUUGUUUUUUUAAAAAUUGUUUCUUUAGGCAUUCCUAGAUUUGUGGAUGAAUGAAUAUGCGACACGUGAGAUUUAUGCUUUAGAUGGUUUAUUGUGCUUGUGGAGUGUAUUUAUUCAAAUCAAGUUGCUGUAUUCUUAUUGGGUGCUAAAUUGUUGUAAUGUGGUGAAAUUUUCUUUGUAAUUGAUAUUAGUAUGCAUUCUAAUCUUUUGUUUCGAUUUGAAUAAAAAAAACUUUGAUUGUUUUAUUCCUUUUCGAAUGCUUAAUAUUCUUAGACAGAUAGCGAAUGUGAUUGUGGAAAAGAGCAUUACUUUAUCAUAGGAAGAAAAGUCAUUUGUUGGGUAUGCAAGAAGUGAUUGUUUAUUUGGGUAAUAUGGUCGGGUUGGAAACAGCAUAGAUGUGCCGUUUGUUAGCAUUGACAACUAUUUGUAAAACAGGGGAGGCAUAGAAUUUGGGUAGCAGAUGAUAUGUUUAUUGAACAUUAGAUGCUCAGUUUUUGUAGGAAGCUUUUUACCCUUAUGGAAACAAAAUCUGGGAUGUAUUCUUUUAAUAUGCUUGUUGAAAAUAGGUAAAGGAUCAAGCGUGGGUUGUAUAGGAAAUUGUACCUGUAUACCAACAAUGGGGAUUGAUGAGCAAGGAACAAGUUGAGUUGUAGAUUAAAUUGUAGUUAUCUAUCAACUUCAGGAAAUAUAUAGACUUUGCAUGGACAUCUGUUGAAUUAAUAAUAUCUUUUCCUUCCUUAGAUGGCAUUUUAUUUGCUUCGGUUUGUUCUCAAACUGGAUAGUUUGGUUUGGACUUUGUAAUUGUUUUCCUUAUCUUGUUACUAAUGCAGCUAUCAGAAUGGCUGGAGAGCAGCAAGAUUGAGAUGAACAAUGCUGACCGAGCUGUGCAGAUUGACCUUCUUGCAAAAGCUAAGGGUAUUGCUUCAGCUGAAGUUUAUUUUGAUGGUCUUCAGGGAUCUGCGAAAACAAACAAAACUUAUGGAGCACUUCUCAACUGUUAUUGUAAGGAGAAAAUGUUGGAUAAGGCUGUCCAACUCUUUGCCAAGAUGAAGGAGCUGAAUUUUACUUCCACUCUGAACUAUAACAAUGUGAUGUCUUUAUACUUGAGCAGUAACCAGCCCGAACAAGUCCCUCUGCUUGUGCAAGAAUUGGAGCAGAAUAAACUUAAAGCAGAUAAAUAUACGUGCAAUCUGUUGAUUAACAGCUAUGCUUCCUCAAAUGAUAUAAAUGCAGCGGAGAAAGUUCUUGAGAAGAUGAAGAAAGAUAAGGUAAAGUAUGAUUGGUUCACUUAUGGGAACCUAGCAACUAUUUACGUCAAUGCUGGACUUCUUCCCAAAGCCAAAGAAAUGAUAGGAGAGAUGGAGAAAUUUGAAAAUGUGCGUGAUCGUGAGUUUUUCCAUAUGCUAAUCAACUUGUAUGAGCUUAUGUCUGACUUGGCUGGGGUUAAUCAUGUGUGGAACUCCCUCAAGUCAGUUUUCCCCUCCCCCAGUAACACUAGCUAUCUCAUCAUGCUGUUGGCUCUGUUUAAAUUGGGUGACCUGGAAAACCUGGAGAAGUAUUUUAGAGAGUGGGAAUCUCAAUGCUCAUUGUACGAUGUCAGACUAUUCAAUGUGGUCUUGGAAUCUUAUCUUAAUAGGAACAUGAUUGGGGAAGCUAAUGCUCUCUAUGAAAGUAUGGUGACCAAAGGAAUCGAUCCCACCUUAGCGACACUGAAUAUUUUCACAAUCUACCACAUUAAGAAUGAUCAGAUUGAUUCAGCUCUGAAGUAUCUGGAGAUGGGUGCAUGCAAGACAAUCCCAGAGGAACAUAGGUGGUUUCCUACAGAUGAAACUGUCAAAUUGUUUUUAGAAUAUUUUGAGAAGAAAAAUGAUGCAACUAGAGCUGAGAAGUUUUGUAACAGCAUGAAGAAGAUUGGUCGUCUUGAUUCUGCCGUUUAUGCAUCUCUGCUUUCCAAAAGUUGAUGACUAGAUCACUGCAUCGAAGUAUAGAGGUGUUUCUGAUUUAAAUAUGGCAGUGAGAAGAGGCCUUGACAAUUUGAUAUUUUAUACUGGCCUAAUUUAAGUCUUGCAAGGAAAUCGAGUUAAUGUUCACAAAUGCUAUUGUGCGAAGCAAAGCUGGCCUGUACUGAAACCUAGACCUAAACUAUGGCGGUGUAAGACCCCCGCGUGCACGCCCGCCGGGGGGGGGGGGGAUCUAAACUGUGGUCGAACGCAGUUAUUAUCACAACGAGCAAUGUCGAUUCCCUUGUAUAUUUGUACGUAGGACAUUAGUUCUCCAUAUUCUGAUCAACUUGCCUUUUCACUUCAGCGUUCUUUUCUUGGUGUUCUGUUGUUUUUUGGUUUUUUUUUUUUCAGCAAUUGCCUCUGAUGUUGAAUCCCUGUACUAGAUAUGACAGCAUUCAUUGUUUAACCAUCCAAGCAAACGAACCAAAGAAGUUUCUUGGCUCGUUUGCGCAAUUUAAACUGGUGACGAUAAGAUGUUAGAACUGAUUAAUUAUCAUAAUGCUGUUGUAAGAAGGUUGUUGAUGAUUGAAGUGGCCAGCGUUAGGUUGAGGUUCCCGCACUGAGCAUCAGAUCUUGGGAAACAGUUAAGAGGUUCAAUCUUUCUUGUGUUUUAGUAUGAUAAUUUCUCAGGAGCAGCAGUUAAGUGCUUGAUUAAAGAAGAAAAUAAAGGAAUAAAGGUAUUUCAACAAACAAGAUCGCCGUGUUUGGACGCUAAUUCCUGGAUAAGUCUCUACCUCUCAACUUCUAUUCAACUAUUUCCUUCUAAUUUUUUUUUUUAUUUUGAGCAUCCGGGAUCCCUACUUUCAGUGAGACUAAUCCGUAUUCGACCCGAAAACACCCGCAGAGUUCGACUUAUUUUUUACCAUUCGGUAUCUCCAUAUUCAGUGAGACUAAUCUGCAUUCGGCCCAAGAAUACUCGCAGAGUUCAACUUUUACUCAGGAUAAAGCUCUGACUCAGAACUUUUCAAAAUAUCACAUACAGGAAUCGAAUUUAUGACUUUUUAUUGCCGUUAACAACUCGCUUACUAAUUGUCCCAAACUUACGGGUUAUUUCCUUUUAAAUUGUCUUAUCAAUCAAAGCCGGGAUGAGUUGUUGUGGCACGUCUGCUGAAACAGCAAAUACCACGUCACAGCGCAUCCUCCACUGGGAACCUUUGAGAAUAUGGGUCGACUUGAAUAUCACUCAUAAGUCCAAUUUCUUCAUAAACCAAGAAUUGAGUUUGAAUUCAAGAAUAUGAUUUGUUACGUGAGUCAAGCUCAAGCACAUCAAAACUCAACUUAUAAAAUCCAAUUGACAGACCUAUUUCACUUGAACAGAUAAAAUGCUCAAAUAAGAUAAGUAGAAUUCACUAACUUCAUUGACAGCAAUUCAUGAAGGACCCUUACAUGUCCAUUUGACUGUAUUACUUUUGUCAAAAGCCAACUAUUGAGCUUAGCAAGUAUUUCGUCCCAAGUACCUGUUUUAUACCCUGAUAAGGAUUUCCCACGAAAAUUACCCUCAAUGUGCACGAUCAGGAUGUCCUCCUAAGUCCUAGGUCUUAUCCGAUUUCAUAACCAGUGUGCAAAGCUAUUUAGGUCGGUUCUUGAACUUGUCUUAAUUGAAAUGCUUGAAACCCCAAAACUUUGGUAUAUCUACCACUUUGAGCAUAUGGAAUUCUUACAAUCUUAUAUUCAUCUGCUUGGCUGAGAUAACCAAAUCCAAGAGCCAAGAAACUACUAUGCCUAUUCGAAUGCUUUAUGUUAAUGCUUGAAGAGGAAAUGCACUUAUAUUUUCUAAUACAAUGAUUCCAUAAAUAUGGUUUGCCCAAUGUAGUAGAUGGUAUUUCUUUUUUAUUGGCAAAACUUUGGUUUUUAGCACAAAGGAAAUUGGAGGCUUUGACAGGGCUAGCUAUAAACCACAUAAAAUGUACCAGUUGGUUACUCUAGGGAAAGAGAUGAAUCUGAAAAGUUGGAGUUCAAGUUCACCAUGGUAAGGAAGCCAGAUCAAACCAGCCCCGUGCCUGAGUCACCUACUGAAGCAAGUAAAUCAUCAACAGUGGAAGAGAAGGCAUGGAACUAUAGCUGCUAUGCCUACGCCGCCAGAGAAGAUGAAGCUCAUUUCUUCUGGGAAUGCAAGGACUAAGAAGAAAUCACAGCAGUGCAUUAGCAAUUCAGUGUAUGGUGGUUGCAGGCUUGCAGCAGCAGCAGCUACAAGAGGGAAGCCUCGCAUCCCAAGCCCAAGGCAAAUGGUCCUCUUAGGAGCAAAGCUGAAGCCAUAACCUGGAGAUGCUUUUGGAUAAACCUGCUACUGGUAAUCAAAGCAUACCAUCCUUUUGGAUACACACAUGAGACGGAUCAAGCUUUCAGCUGGAAGCUACAACAGGACUGUAACAAUCACCUCGAAAGGAAGGUCUGGAAUUGUUUCGUGUUUCUUGGACUGGAAUCUAAAUAGUUCGCUUGGGUUUUUCAGAUUGUGAGGUGUUAUGAAAAUAGAGAAUUUUUGAACCCAUAGUUGGACCUAAAAAUUUGCUGCUUCUAUACACAAAAAAGAAGACACAAAACCCAUCCAAUUUUGAUACUUUGGAACUUUUUAUCGAUUGUGAACAAAAUGGCUGACCAGAAACGCCCUGUUUUUCCGAUAGAAAUCAUCACUCCGUUUUUUGAUCCAGCUACCUCCUAAGGUCUUGAUGAAGCUCAUGCACCUUUCAAGAUCACGGAAGAACUUGAUCAGAGACCCUAGUUCUCUACGGCAAAAUUUGAAAGAUUCUCAGCAAAAGGUAAUCGAUAUCUCUUGUAUUUGACUGCGGAGUUAUAACCCGUGGACUUUCAAGUUGAAUGAUGAUAGAUCAUUCCAAUAUUUGUUUAGAUUUAAGAAUGCCUAUUUUUUUGGUCCACUCCUCUUUUCCUUCCUCACUUCUUUAAUCUCACCUGUUUUCUAUCUUGACAAGGACUUCGCCCCAAAGUUACCCACAAUCUGCACGAUCAUAUUUACUUCUAUCCUUCUUCCUUCUUCUUAACCAGUGUCCAAAGAUAUUUAACUUAGUUCUUGAACUUGUUUAAAUUAACAUAUUUAAAUUAAAUCCUUGAAAUUCCUUCCAUGCAAGUUGAAAAGACAAUCGCUUUAACUUAGUUGAAACCUCAAUUGCAGACACUUUCAAGUCAAAAAAUGGACCAUCUUAUAUUUCCUAAGAGGUAAUUAGUGAAGCUAAAGCAGUCUCUUCCGUAAUAUACAGCAGAUUCUUGAAAGAACCUAGUAAUUACACCUAUACUCAGAGAGAAAUGGUAGUGGCAAUGUCGAAUCAUAUUGAGAAUUUCCAACGAUCUGUCAUAUAAAUGGAAAUAAAUAUUUGCUUUGAUAGGACCGGGCCAGGAAAUAGACAAACUCAAGUUAGCACAAAUUAGGCGGUAUAACCGACCAUAUAAUAGAUAGGCGGUAGAUACCAGCCAUAUAAUAAUUAGGCGGUAAAACCGACCAUAUAAAGACGGAUAACAAAGCAAAUAAAAGACACAAAAGAUUUACGUGGUUCGGUCAAAUUGACCUACGUCCACGGGCGAGAGAGGAGCAAUAUUUCUACUAUGAAGAAGAAAUACAAAAGCCGUAGGAAAGUGGUUCCUAGGCCAAUAGGCACUUACAAAAGAGUUUAGAAAAUAUUCCUAAAUUCAAAACAAGAGAGCCUAAAAUAUUUAACUGAAUGGGAUAGAUGACUCAAGAAGCUAAUGGCCCAUAUAACUCUCUUGAGUGGUGCGAUUGAAACCUUCAUAUGAGCCCCCUAUUUAUAGUUGUAUUUGGGAGGCUUUCCUUCUGCUUCAGGCGAUGUGGGAUGAGGAAAUUCUGCCACAGUCAAGGAUUGCGGCUGAAGAAUUGCGGCUCAACAAAUCUCCACCUUGGCAUAAUUUUGAGUCCCACCAUCGUCAAUAGUAAAUUCGCUCCACCUUCUCCACAUAAGACCCAAUGGGUCUAAAUCACAAAUAACGAACACCAACCAAGUCCAAGCACUGCUUGAACUUGUAAUUUGGAAGAGGCUUCGUAAACAUAUUGGCUGGAUUGUCCUUAGUAUUGAUUUUCUGAAUAAGGACUUUUCCCUCUGCAAUGAUAUCCCGAAUGAAGUGAUACUUCACAUCAAUAUGCUUCGUCCUCUCAUGAUACAUCUGAUCUUUAGUCAAGUGUAUGGCACUUUGACUAUCACAGUGAAUAUCAGUAACACCUUGAUAUAGACUUAACUCGCUAAAUAAACUCUUCAACCACAAGGCUUCUUUGAUUGCCUCGGUCACAGCCAUAUAUUCUGCUUCAGUAGUAGACAAAGCUACGACAGGUUGUAGAGUAGCUUUCCAACUAACAGCACAACUGCCAAUGCAAAAUACAUAGCCUGAAAGUGAUCUUCUCCUGUCAAGAUCCCCAGCGUAGUCUGAGUCUACAAAACCAACCAAAGUGUUAUUAUUUCUUCCAAACUCCAAACAUACAUUUGAAGUACCUCGCAAGUAUCUGAGAAUCCACUUCACAGCCUGCCAAUGUGUUUUACCAGGACAAGAUAUAUAUCUGCUAACAACACUGACUGCUUGUGCAAUAUCUGGACGAGUACAAACCAUUGCAUACAUAAUACUGCCGACUGCACUGGAAUAAGGAACCCGUGCCAUAUAAUCUUCCUCUUCAUCUGAUUUUGGUGAUUGAGCAGCAGAUAGCCGAAAAUGUCUAGCAAGAGGAGUAGAUACUGGUUUAGCAUCUUUCAUGCCAAAACGCUCCAAGACUUUCUCAAGGUAAUUUUUCUGGGUCAAAAAUAACUUCCCUACUCCUCGAUCUCGAUUGAUAUCCAUGCCAAGAAUUUUCUUAGCUGCUCCCAAAUCUUUCAUUUCAAAUUCACUAUUUAACUGCAGUUUCAAAGUGUGAAUUUCUGACAAAUUCUUGGCAGCAAUGAGCAUGUCAUCAACAUAAAGCAGCAAAUAAAUGAAAGAACCAUCAUUUAACUUCCGGAAGUAAACACAACUAUCAUACAUGCUCCUCAAAUAACCAUGACCCAACAUAAAGGAAUCAAACCUCUUAUACCAUUGUCUUGGAGACUGUUUCAAUCCAUAUAAGGAUUUCUUCAAUAAGCAAACAUGGUCUUCCUUACCUUCAAUUUCAAAACCCUGGGGUUGUCUCAUAUAAAUUUGUUCUUCAAGUUCGCCAUGUAAGAAAACUGUCUUAACGUCGAGUUGUUCUAACUCCAAAUUAUACAUGGCAACUAAAGCAAGCAAAACACGAAUAGAGCUAUGUUUAACAACAGGUGAGAAUAUAUCAUUAAAAUCAACACCUUGUACCUGACUAUAGCCCUUUGCAACCAAUCGUGCUUUAUAUCUUACAUCUUCAACCCCUGGAAUACCUUCUUUCUUCUUGAAAACCCAUUUGCAUCCAACAAUUUUCUUAGCUGACGGCGGCUUUACAAGAACCCAAGUUUCAUUACGAUGAAGAGAUUCAAUUUCUUCAUUCAUCGCAAUCAACCACUUUGCAGAGUCAUCACAAGAAACUGCUUCUGAAUAGGUGGAAGGCUCACCAACUGCAUCAGUUUCUUCUGCAACAGACAAAGCAUAUGCAACUAAAUUUACAUAUCUUUGUGGUGGUCGAAUGUCUCUCCUUGCUCUAUCUCUGGCUAUGGAAUACUCUUCUUCUUCAGAACUAUCUUCAACAGUAGAUUCAGGUGUAUCUACUGGCAUUUGAAUAGAAGAUUUGGAUUGAGAAGGACCAGAACUGCCAAUAUCAAGCUCCACCUGCUUCUGUGUACUAUCAGUAGUACAAGGACUAGAAGACUCCUUCUUGGAAGAUAACAGAGAUAAUUCAUCAAAAGUAACAUCUCUACUGAUUACAAAUUUUGGGGAUUUGGGAUCAGAAUACCAUAAUCUGUAUCCUUUCACCCCAGAAGCAUACCCAAGAAAAAUGCACUUUUUAGCCCUAAGCUCCAAUUUUCCAUCAUUCACGUGCAUGUAUGCUGGACACCCAAAAACUUUUAAAUUGGAGUAAUCAGCAGGAGUACCUGACCAAACUUCCUCAGGAGUUUUGAAAUCAAGAGAUGCAGAAGGAGAACGGUUGACAAUAUAACAGGCCAUAUUGAUCGCCUCUGCCCAAAAGUCGUUUGUCAACUCUGCAUUGGAGAUCAUACAUCUUGCUCUCUCCAAAAGAGUUCUGUUCAUACGUUCGGCCACACCAUUUUGUUGAGGCGUCAUCCUGACGGUGUGAUGCCGAACAAUUCCUUCAUUUUUGCAAAAUUCAUUAAAUUCACCUCCACAAAAUUCCAUGCCAUUAUCUGUUCUCAACCGCUUAACAUGUUUUCCUGUUUGUUUCUCAAUCAAAACUUUCCAUCGUUUGAAAGUUAGGAAAACAUCAUUUUUAUGCUUAAGAAAAUAGACCCAAACUUUCCUUGAAUAAUCAUCAAUGAAAGUCAACAUGUACCUGGCACCACCUUUAGAAUGAGCACGAGAAGGACCCCAUAGAUCUGAAUGAAUGUAAUCAAGAGUACCUUUUGUCUUGUGAAUUGCUGGUGAACUGAAGCUGACUCUUUUCUGCUUCCCAAAAAUACAAUGUUCACAGAAUUCCAAUGGCCCGGUACUUUGACCACACAGAAGUCCUCUUUUGCUCAGUAUGCCCAAGCCUUUUUCGCUCAUGUGCCCCAAACGCAUAUGCCAUAAUUUGGUGAUGUCAGUAUCUGACAAAGAUGAUGUUGAAACAGCAGCAGCACCUGUCACAGUAGAUCCCUGCAAAAUAUACAAAGUACCAGAUCUGUGUGCCUUCAUAACAACAAGAGCUCCUCGAGUGAUUUUGAGAACUCCGUUUCCACCUGAAUACCUGCACCCGAUAGACUCAAGAGUGCCCAAAGAGAUGAGAUUUUUCUUCAAAUCUGGAACAUGUCUAACAUCUGUGAGAGUCCUCACAAUACCAUCGUACAUUUUAAUUUGGAUUGUGCCUUUGCCAACUACUUUACAAACAGCGUUUUUGCCCAUUAAGACAACUCCACCUUCAGUUGAUUCAUAUGUUGAAAACCAAUCCCUGUUGGGACACAUAUGAUACGAACAACCCGAAUCUAAAAUCCACUCAUUGUUAGACCUAAAAUUAUUUUCCGUUGCACAGAAAAUGGUUCCAUCAUUCUCAUCAGCUGCUAUACUAGCUUCAGCGGAUUCAGUAUUUUUCUCAACAAAUUUCCCCUUUUGCUUUUCCUUAUUUUUCAAUUUAAAGCAAUCAGAAAUAACAUGACCCUUCUUUUUACAAUAAUUGCACACCACAUUUUUAUGUCUGGACUUGGAUCUAUUUCUAUUUUCUGUGUUUCUCUUUUCAGAUCUACCCCGAACAAACAAGCCAUCAGCUUGACUCCCACUAGUUUCCCCAGUAAUAUCCCUAUCUAUCUGCUCUUUAGAUUUUAACGCAGAUUUAAUUUCCCGAUACAAAAUUGUUUCCUUUCCAUAUAUCAUAGUAUCACGGAAAUACUUAAAGGACUGAGGAAGGGAACAUAAAAGUAAUAGGGCCUGAUCUUCAUCAUCAAUUUUCGAAUCUAUAUUCUCCAAAUCCAUAAUAAUGGAAUCAAAUUUAUCAAGAUGGGAGAGUAUAGAUGUACCUUCAGACAUCCGAAGCAUAUACAAACUCUGCUUCAGAUAUAGCCGAUUCUCGACUGUGUUCUUCAUAUACAAGGCUUUCAAUUUAUCCCACAUAGCCUUGGCCGAAGUCUCCGUUGCUACCUCACGCAAUAUCUCAUCGGAGAGAUUUAGGAUAAUACUGGAUCUUGCCUUCUUAUCCAUCUCAGCAAAAUUUGCAUCUGUCACAUCUUCUGGCUUUUUCUCAAUUCCUUGAAUUGCCAAAUCAACUCCGUCUUGAACAAGAAUGGCCUCCAUCUUGAGCUGCCACAUGCCGAAGUUGACAUUCCUGUCGAAUUUCUCGACAACCGUCUUUGUUAUCGUCAUUGUUGCCACAAAAUCUGUAACUUGAAAUUUGUCUCAAAAAAAAAACUGGCCAAACAAAUAUGCAAGUCUCGUGAGCGGGCCCCACAGGGUGAGCGGACCCCACGAGAUAAGCGGGCCCCACGGGGAUGAACGGACCCCACAAGGUGAGCGGGCCCCACGGAUAAACGGACCCCACAGGAUGAGUGGGCCCCACAGGAUGAACCUGUCUUGCAAAAUAUAACAACCAGCUCUGAUACCAGUUUGAUAGGACCGGGCCAGGAAAUAGACAAACUCAAGUUAGCACAAAUUAGGCGGUAUAACCGACCAUAUAAUAGAUAGGCGGUAGAUACCAGCCAUAUAAUAAUUAGGCGGUAAAACCGACCAUAUAAAGACGGAUAACAAAGCAAAUAAAAGACACAAAAGAUUUACGUGGUUCGGUCAAAUUGACCUACGUCCACGGGCGAGAGAGGAGCAAUAUUUCUACUAUGAAGAAGAAAUACAAAAGCCGUAGGAAAGUGGUUCCUAGGCCAAUAGGCACUUACAAAAGAGUUUAGGAAAUAUUCCUAAACUCAAAACAAGAGAGCCUAAAAUAUUUAACUGAAUGGGCUAGAUGACUCAAGAAACUAAUAGCCCAUAUAACUCUCUUGAGUGGUGCAAGUUAAAUCCUUCAAAGGACCCUUCUAUUUAUAGGCCUCGAGUAGCCGGCUUCUCUUCAGCAGGCUCCGAUGUGGGAUGAGAAGGAAAUGAAAAAUUAUGCCACAAGUCAAAGCUUGCGGCUCUGACAAAACAACAUGCUUCAUGCUCCAUUUCAUAAAUAAAAAACAAAAGGAGCAUUUGCCAAACAAAUCAGCUCAUAACAGAUAAUAAGUUGGAAGCCCUCCCAAUUAUUUUUUCUUUUUUCAAUAAAAACUAAAACAUAAACAGAUAGUUUCUCACUUUUUUUUUCGCCAAACCUCCCUCAGUGCAACAGUAAUCGGUGGUUUUCCAAGAUAAACUUUAAGAAAAAUUCCAAUAGUUUUACAUACACACACUCCCUCCGCGGGGGGUCUUCUCCUUUUAUGAGCUAUAAAUCCCCUAUGCUUGGAAGAAGAACUCCAUAAUUGCCAGAAACCCAGGAUCGCUAUUAUCAUUUUUAUACUUUACACCUUCCACAGUACACUCCUUAACUUCUCGUAUUCCUUGUAAAGAAACUUCAAAUUACACAUACACUCACAGAUACACACUUUCCAUGGCAAAAUGAAUAAAAAAUAAAACGUUACUGAACAGCCUGUCAGAUCAAAUGCAAGGUCCGUCCUCAAGCCAACACCCAAAAGCAUCAGCAACAGCAGAAGAAGAUGAGAUCGCACAAUUCAUCGUUUGCAAUGAGCUCGUCAAUUAGAUUCUCUCAAGCUUCUGGUGCGUUUUCAAAUCUUGGCUUUGUUAGAUCCCUGGAGUUCGUCAAAACCCAUGUGGAGAAAUCUCACAAUCCACAAAACCAAUGACUACAUGUUGCAUAGUUUUUUUUUUCAUGAUUGGUUUUUAUCCAAAAUUAAGCAGUCUUCUCUUCAUUUUGCAUUGUAUUUUAGGCAGUUAAACUACCAGAGAGAGAGAGAGAGAGAGAGAACAUCUUGUGGUAGUGCUUGUUGUUCCAUUAGGCCAAGUUAAAGGUCUGAAUACAUUGAUAUGCUCAAAUUGGCAUUUUCUCAGAUUUAACCAAACUGAACUAAAAUAAGAUCAAACAAAACAUGGUCAAACACUCUUUUUACAACUCAAAUAAAUUGCUUUUACAAUUAAAAACAUUAAUGAAGUAGAUUGGAUUAAGCCAAAAAAACAACAAUUCGUAUAAUUUGACCUCUAAAGUGAAGCGGAAAUCAAAUAGAGAAAAUUGGACAAAAAAUUUAUGUAGUUUGGUUUAAAAGCUACCUACAAUAUCUUAGGUCGUCUUCUCCUUGUGUAAUUUUUGAAUAUGCAACAUAAAAGGCUCGUCUUUUGAUGUUAACAUCUUUAAGUUUGGCAAAUUACAAACGUAAGGACUUUGUUUUGAAACAUUCAUGAAACGAUAGUGAUACAAGGCCGAAAAUGUAUCAUCAAAAAACAUAUGGUUGUGUACUGAUCUAUGUGUGAUGUAUUUAUAAGCUAAUCUAACGUACAAGUGGUUCAAAGCUGAUCUACCACUUUGUAGUGAUUAGGUUCAAAGAAUCUUCACUAAAAUAGUGGUUCAAUCGAAUGACACCAUUAUUUAUGCAUACGAUUAUCAGAUUAUUCUGUAACCUUUGGAAGUCUAUUUUUUAAAAUUUGAAAUGGCCGAGGAUUGUUGAAUAUUUUCAAAAUUUGAUUAGUUGCAAGAUGGGGUCCUGUCUUAGGAUUCAACAUGAGACCCAUCACUAUUUGGUUCUUGUAAUGCUCAGCUAUGUUUUCAGAACCGGACCGGGUAGUGACUUGGCCGAGGUCAGGGGUCAGGGGUCAAUGGAUUCGACCGGGGGUCGAUAGGGGUCGAACCGGAUGACGUCAUAAAUAAAAAUUAUUUAAAAAUUAAAAUAUUAUAUAUAUAAUAUCUAAUAAUAUAUUGAUAUUAAUAAAGGUAUAUUCAUAUAUAUUUGAUGUUUCAAAUAUAUUUAACAAGAAAAUACAAAAAAAUUAGAACAAUCAAGUAGCAAUUUAUAUUAUUUAAUAAAUAUUAACAAGUUAGAAUUAAAAUUAUGAAUUUAAUUGAAAAAUAACAUCAAAUUUUAGGACAAUAUUUAUAAAGUAUCAAAUAUUUGAGGUAUAUCAAUAAGUUUUAACAAUUUAGGGGGUCAAAACAUAAUAUUAAAAAGUUUGAAUUUUUUUUUAAAAAAAUUACUGUUGAACCAGAAAAAUCGGUUUUUUCCCGAUCAAACCCUGUUUUUGACCGGCUUUGACCGGGUUUUAAAUUUUCGGUUUUUUAAUAUGACUCGGACCGGCUACCUGGCCGAUUCCCGGUUCGACUGGCCGGUCCGGUCCGAGUUUUAAAACAGAGAUGCUCAGAAGUUGUUUAAAUCUACUUGACAUCUUUUCAUAUUUUUGACAGUUGAUUAUCCAAAAACUGUCUGAACACUUACAUUGAUAUUGAGGAAAUUUUUUACCAACACAAAUGCACAAAUCAGUGGUGAAAGGUUGAACUCUUGAUCAUUUUCAAUCUCAAUUCUAUAAAGGUCUAGUAGGGAUAGCUUGCUGUAGAAGAUUAUUUUUCCUACUAUUAGAAUUUUUUGCAAAAACACACCAUAGUUCAAGUAGAUUUGUUUAACUUUGUACAAGAGUUAAGACAAGCAUUCUUCAAAUUAUCCUAAAGGAUAUUUUUUCAAAGUUUUUACACACAAAAUUUUGGACAAAUAAAGUUUAAAGGAAAGUGAUCUUGAAUCACGAUUUGAAGUCUUUUUGCUUUGUAACUUUCAGCCAUGUUCUCUUGUAGUCUCUAAUAAUUUUUUCGAGGCUCUAAUUUGGAGACGCAUACAUUGCACGUGGAUUAGAAUAUGGCUAGAAGGAAGACUAGGAGAAUAGUAGAGACCAAUAUAUAUAUAUACUAGUUUUGGGGUGCCACGCAUUGGCGUGGCACUGCCCAGGUUUGUGUUUAAUAUGUAUAUAUAAUUUUGGUGUUAUUUAUGAGAAGAGUGUUGUAUGGUAAUACUGAUGCAAUGGCGUGACAGGAUUUAGUUAUUAUGGGCAACACAUACAAAAGAAAAAAUAAAAAACUAAUAAAUAGAAGAGAACCUGAAAGAAAGAAGAGAAGAAAGCUCCCUAUAGCCUAACCGAAAGCAAAAAACAACGGAGUUAAACUGACAUCACAGUCACCCAGCGAACUCGGAUCAAUCCAGUAUUUGCUCAACAAUGACCAAACGUACCAUGCAGCAGCCAACUGGACAAUGACUCAACGCACCCUAUACACAAUAUAGCGCCACACAGUCACCUACAACAGCACCCACUAACAUGCACCCGAUUCAAUAAACCCCACUAAAAGGCAAUGCCCAGGUUUAAGCUUAGCAUGUAUAAUUUUAGGGUUCUGUUUAUAAUGCAAUGCAUGUAAUGGUAUCCAAAUGGAAAUUCAUGUGCAUGUGGUGAGAAUAUUUGUCUAUAAUAAUGAUAUACGCGUUAUUGAAUCUGGAGUAAAUAUACUUACAGGAGAGAUAAUUAAUUGUAUUAGGUUUGUCAUGCCUAAAUGAUUUUUGUUGAUAAUUUGGAAAGGAUUAUUUUGUUUUAUUUUUUAUUGUUCCUUUGAUAUGUUAUAAUUUCUUUUAUGGGUUAUCCUAAUUGUUAGGCUCAUAUAAUAACUUAGGUAGUAACUAAGUUAGGAUAGUUAAAUUCUGAUUUUUGUUAACACUCAAUUGAAUUCUAAUUAUCAUCUACUAUUAGCUAGUCAAUAGUUUUAGUAUAGUUAAAUUAGUUAAAUUUUUCAUUUUGAAUUCAAAAUUUGAUUUUAUUAUAGUUCAAUUAGUUAGCUAGUCAAUAGUUUUAGUAUAGUUAAAUUAGUUAAAUUCUAAUUAGCUAGUCAACACUCAAUUAAAUUCUAAUUAUCAUCUACUAUUAGCCAGUCAAUAGUUUUAGUUUAGCAUAGUUAAUUUAGUUAAAAUUUUCAUUUUGAUUUUAUUAUAGUUAAAUUAGUUAGCUAGUCAAUAGUUUAAGUAUAGUUAAAUUAGUUAAAUUUUUCAUUUUGAAUUGAAAUUUUGAUUUUUUUUUAACACUCUAAUUGUAAUUAGGAACGAUUAGCUCCUUGAAUUGGCCAAUAUUACACCAAUAACCGGUCUAAUGUGGCUAAUAUUACACCUAUUUGAUUUUAUAUCAUAUAUUUCUAAUUGUAAUUAGGAAAAUUUUGAUUUUAUUAUAGUUAAAUUAGUUAGCUAGUCAAUAGUUUUAGUAUUGUUAAAUUAGUUAAAUUUUUCAUUUUGAAUUGAAAUUUUGAUUUUUUAACACUCUAAUUGUAAUUAGGAACGAUUAGUUCCUUGAAUUGGCCAAUAUUACACUAAUAACCGGUCUAGUGUGGCUAAUAUUACACCUAUUUGAUUUUAUAUCAUAUAUUUCUAAUUGUAAUUAGGAACGAUUAGUUCUUUGAAUUGGCCAAUAUUACACCAAUAACCAGUCUAAUGUGGCUCCAUGCAAUCACCAACAAAUGAAGAAUAGUUAUUGGCACCACCGUAACCAAAGGGCCCUCAGAUUGGUGUAAAUUACUGCAACAACCCACUAAGACACCCUAACCAAAGGCCCCUCAAAUUGAUGAAAAUUACUGCAAUAACCGGACCACAAUUGCUACAGUAACUUGAGCUUGGUACUUUUAUAUCUUGUAAGAUAUAUAUAUAUAUAUAUCCCAACAAUAUAUUUAUAUCCCCAAAUGGAUGCUUUUCUUCUGCCCCAAUUCUUUAAUCUUGGUAGUCCUUGAUGUAUAACUGGCUGCUAAUAUAGCAAGUAUUUGAAUGACAUCAUAUGGUAAGGACAUAAAUGCAUCCACUUAAUACAGUCCAUAUUUGCAUGCAUGUUACAUGACAACGUAGACAUUCAAGAGACCAAAAGUGAACUAAGAAUAUGUCUAGUUGCAUAUCAUUGUGUUGAAACCUUGAAAGCCCUUUUAACUGAUAGUUGUACCUGUACCCCAAAGUUCCUGAUCGAUCGCCAGCCCUGAGUUCGUUAUGUGGAGAAUUGUCUGUCAACAUCUAUAACUACAAGAAGCGAAGGUUGGUUUUUCAUGAUAGUUUCUCACUUGCAAUCCAAUAUCCUGAUCAUAUUUUUCCAAGCUUUGGAAAAAGACGUGAAUUUCACGGGGGAUUUAGAUGGAAAGCAAAAGGAGUAUGGUAGUAAUGAUCUCAAAAAGAAGACAAGGAUCUUCCUUGUCCCAUCGACCUUGGCUGAGAGUUUAGUUGAUUUCGUCCAUAUAUAUGCAGGCCAUGUAGGCUAUGUAUGUUACAUGUUAUAGGCCUCAAAUAAUCUUUUCCAGGCCUUGGUUUGGAGAAGCACAUAAAUCGCACGAGGAAUAUUACAGGAGGAGAAUGGUAGUGACAAUUAAAAAAGACCAAGGAAACCCUCUCAAACACUUGCUUUCGAUUAACAUUUGCUCAGCAUCUGAGAUUAGUUGAUGACGGAAACACUCAUCAACUGUUUGCCAUCCAUAACCUUUGCGUGCAUGUACGAGUAUGCUAGAUGGCUGAAGCUUCAAACAUACAGCUGAAUUUGAGUUUUUUUUUUUUUUUUUUGAGGUUUUAGACGGUGGAUUUUGGGAUUAAUUUCUCAAUCAAGUGCAAGAAUGUUGACCAAAAUAUGGAUUUACAACUUUAUGCUACUUGUCAACUUUGGCUGAUAAUUAAAAAAAAUGUUGCGUUUGCAACUACCUGCCAACUCUUUGCUCUCAUUUUCUACGUUUAUGCUUGAGAUUCUGAAAUUUUAAGGGGUUUGAAUCAAUAGUUUUAUGGUUAAAUUCACUGAAGUGUGACAAAUGGACUCAAAUUGAAAAAAAAAAAAAACAAAAGUAAUUUAAGCAAGGUAUCAUAAGAGGGAGAAUGAAGAAGAAAAGAGGGGAGAAAUCAAUCCAGAGAAUGAACAGUACCACGACAGAAACUGUUAUAAAGGAUAAAAGAGUUGCAACAAUGAUGAGGGAUGUGAGAGUGGUCUUAAGAUACAUAGGUCUUACCAUUUCCGAAUCUAAUCUGUGUAAUCAAUAUAUUUUUAAUGCUUUCUUUUUCUUUCAACAAUUUUUUUCUUGUAAUAAAUUUAAAUUAUUCAUUUAUUUUUCUAGAGUAACUUUACUUAAUCAGGCUUUAAUUUAUUAAUUUUUUCUUAGAAACUAAGUAUUUGUUUCAUGAGAAAAUGGAUUACUGCAUCUUUUAUAUUUAAUUGAAAAGGUUACGUAGCCUUAGGUGUAUAAUUAUUGUAAAAAAUUUAAUUGCUAUCUCAAAAACCUUUUUUUUUUUUUGGUUUAUGCAUCCUAUUAUGACAUAUUUAUGUAUAAAAGUUAUUAAAAAUUGGUAUGGUUGUCGACUAAUUAAUAUGUAAUAAUUUUCUGGAAUAAACAUCAUAAAACAUAUAAGAAUAUCAUUCAUAUUUCUUUUCUUUUUCGGUUAUUUAUUCCUUGGACAUGUUCGUAAAUAAUUAACAAAAAUACGUGCAUUAGCACGGCUGAAAUACUAAUUAUUAUUACUUCAAUGAAAUCCACGAUGGUUGUACGUACUCUUUUAUUUGAAAUUUAUAUUUGUCGACUUGAAAAUGACCAAGAACAAUGCAACACCAUUUACGUGGCUUAAAUUAAUACGACAUGAUUACUACAACUAGGAAUAAUCUAUUUCUCAUGUAGAUCGACUAUGGAAAAAACUAUUUGGACACAAAAACUGCAUCGUCUUCUAAUUCUUUAGUUGUCCAAAUUGCUUCAUGAACUUCAAAAUUGUCCUUAAACUUUAGAUUGGGAUAUCUUAUUCCUAAAAUGCAAAAGCUUCUGCCAUUUUAAUUAGCCCUUCUCAUAAGAUAAUCAUUGCAUUAAAAACUUACUUAAACAAGCAAACUAUGAUUGAAAAUAAUAGAAAUGCUAUUCUCUUUAUCGUGAAAGGACCUUAUGCUACAAGUGAACUACAACGUGAUAAAGUCAUGACAAUAGAUAGGGAAGCUUGGAUAAGUACCAAAAUGUUGCCUAAUCUUGUGAUCUCUUGGCCUAAAAUUUAAUGUCGGUGUUACAAUAACAAGUUAAAUAUUUAGUUAAUGGUCAUAGUAAAAGCAAAUAAUCUUCAAUCAGUCAAAUGAGUCCCAUCGUGAAUUAAUAGACAUACAUCAACUUAAUUAUCUAAUUUUUUUUUUUUUUUUUUGGAACGACACCAUUUACACAUCUAAAAAAUAAGCAACCAUAUUCUUUAGGGUAUGAUCUCAACUGUAUAUGGAUAUAGAAGUCACAAGUUCACGCCUCACUUAAUUAUUUGAGGUCGAUUUGGUUUUGCAAAGACAUAUAUUUACUAGUCAUAAAUAAUAUAUAUAUUAACUAGGUAAUUUUUGGAGCCAAAAUUAUUCUCUUUCCCAGGUUGCAGUAAACAACUUAAAGAACCUAAUUCCAGCUUACCUGCGGAUUGAUAUAUAAAUUGGGAUUUUGAAUCUUGAAUCUUCUUCAAAUUAUCUGUCGUGAAUUAGAUUGAAAGACAUAUUCAUUUUCUUAAAAGAAAAAAGCAGUAAACUGAACUUAUAACCCGUCAUGGGUCUAUCACAUCACAGGGAAGGAAUGUUGCAACACCAAACAGUGAAAAUGUCUCCAAUGAAACAUCAUAAUAAAAAAUUCCCAGCAACUCUACAAAAAUUUUGACACAAACUUUCAAAUAUAGAAGUACUGCGACACUUUCUUGAAACCUUUCUGUGUUUUGCACAAACUCAAUAGCCAUGCCAAGAAACAUCAUGAUUUGCACGCACCAUGUUUCAAGUUUGAGAUCCCUCCUAUCCUGGAACCCAAACUCAGCAACUACUUGAAUUCCUCUUAAGUAGCCAUCUUGUCUUGUCAGGGGAUCCCUUGUAGAUCCAUCAUCUUUCAAUGUCACCAAACCAUCAAGCAUGACCAGCGCAGAGGCAUAUAGAGUUGUGAACGGAUGAACAGUCAAGUAAUAACUAUACGAUUUGAGCUCCUCAAAUCGAGAGUAACGUUGUCUUUGCGAUCCCUUGACGUAUAUACAAGAUGAAACCGAAUCUUCUGAAUCUAAAUACAUUGAAUUUUGGUCUACAAUGCUUGGGGAAUGACCAAAUUCUCCACACUUGAGAUCAAAACGAGAAUUGGACGAGAAGUUUAGGAGGAAUUAAGUAACUAGAGAAUAGUAAAGCUGGUCUGCAACAUAAAACAGGGAUUUUGCCACAUCCUCUGAUAUUGCAUCAGACUUGAACUUUGCAUCUUUCGUUGUCUAUAUGGCCCCAAUCAAUUAAAUGGAUGCAAAUCAUGCAAUGAUGUGGAGGCCAGUGUAUAGUGUAUAAUCCGUUAUAAUCUUACAUGUAUGCAUAAACGGAUGUAUAGCAUGAAUCUUUCACACAUAAACACCUGUUUAUGCACACUGGUGUGAUUAAUUAGCCUUCUCAAGUGGGAAAACUAAUUAACAUAAUACAUAGGGCUCUGAAAUCCUUGCCAACUUAGAGUAGGAGUACGCCUAGACUGCUAGUGAUGCUUAAAUGCAAUUAGAUGACGGGUUUUAUUUAAUCAGAUUUUCAAACGAUUGUAGUUAUUCUUGGUGCUUUAUGCAUAAAUGGAGAAACCUCAUUCAUUGCUUUUGGAUAUCUUAUCACUCAUAGAAAAGUAUACAUGAUAGAGUAGAAAAACAAAAUUCUCUGCUUAAUUAGCGAUGAUUUGAUUUAUUAAACCAAUUGAACAUGUACACUGGGGUCAAUUUCGAAAGAUUUUGCACUUCACACUUGUAAACGAUAUUAGAUUCUCAAAUAAUCACACAAAUUAAGGCGUUUGAUACUUGGCACGCUACUAGUCAGCUAGUUAUAGGCUAGAAUAUGACGGUUUAUCAUAUUUUCAUUUUGCCACUUAAAAUGAUCAAAGCGAUUGUGAUGAUGAUGAGGGUUGAGGGAAGUGAAAGUGAAAGUGACAUUAAUUAUCAUUUUGAUUGAAAGCUGUGUCCUUCCAAGCUUGAGAUAUAUAACGAUCUAAGGGGUAGGAAGCAUUUUCUUUUCUGCGGAAAGAAGGGUGGAAGUGACUGAAACAGGAGCAAUAUAAAGAUUUGGACAUCCAGGGAAUGCAGCACAGGAGAAGGGAAUUAAAGGGAGUGGUGACUGAGAAUCUUGUUGAUCCUCCUGAUAUAUGCAUGCUCUUACCUCAGAAUCCUCUAGCUCUGAAGAGGGUAAUGAUGAUUCUGAUGAUAACUACGACAAUAACUAGGAAGAACCAGGGAGCUCUAUUAUCACUUUUAUGGGCCCAUAAAUAUCAAACAACAAAAAUAAUUUAUCAAGCAAGAAAGCACAAAACAAAAAAUGGAGUCUAUCAAAAUGCAGCGGCUACAACUUACUAAAGAAAUGGAGACAGUGCCUUUAGUCACUAUUUCGACAUUUUGAUGAAUGGCUGACCGUGUAUUUCCUAAUUGUAGAAUUACGUAGGUAAUUUGUGGAGCCAAGAUAUUGUUUUCACAAUUUGCAGUGCAUAUAGAGGAUUAAUUUGCAGUACAACUCAAAAAAUGGAAUUCCACACAUACACACGCACACACAUAUAGAGGAUUAAUUCUUCUUACAUCGUCACACUGUAUAUGCUGAUAGGAUUGAAUGAAUGUCAUAUUAUUUGAAUUUGAAUUUAAACAUUAAAUUUUGUAUAUGUGAUAUGCAUUAAUUUAAACCCGUUAGUGUAUACGCUAUUAAUGCAUAAAAGAUUUACUCAUUUAUAUAUAUAUAUAUAUAUAUAUUUGGAAAAACACGUGACUUGCACGAGAAUAUUAAGACCAAGAUGAAUAUGAAAAAUUUCUAUCCUAUAAAGUUUUUUGGGUUUCGAUUGCAUGUACAAGGGUAGACUUGCCAACAAGCCAAACACCAAAGUGCAACAGAGAAGUGGCCCUAACUAACCUCCUUCGAUUUCUCCAUCCACGAAAAAUUAUAGCGCAAAUGAUUCUUGCGUCCCUAUAGAUUAUGUUUUAGGAAGCACCAAUCCUGGUUAAACAAUUUGUGAAACAAGGCUUUAAUAUGAGUAUAGAUUAUGAGUAUAUAUAAAUUAACAAAGGCAAUUUCUAGAGGGUAUACAACUUGUUUAAUUCAGAGAAUUAGAAUAUCGUACAUGGUAUGCUUGUCUUGUGGAUGUUUUUUGAAUUUAUUAUCUCUCUGUAUAUUCUUUUUUUUUUUUUACAAGUCUUGAAAAUAUAUUGUUCUAUGUCUUUUUCCAAAAUAAAUUGUAUUUUUCUUUUCAAUUUGUCAUUUUAUGGGGAUAAAAAGUUCCAAAUUCAUAAUGGUCUCUUUUUUCUUUUUUUCUUUUUUUAUAAGCCCUAACGGUCUUGUUUUGAUUUGGUUCAGAAUUUGGGAACCUACUAUCUUUUUAUAGUUAAAAAAGAGUAUAAAACUAAGUCACUUUAUGAGCCUUGACAGUAGAUAUUAACAUUUGUUGGAAAAAACAUAUGAGUCUUGAUAGUAUUAUGCUUCUUUUAAAUUAAAAAAAAAAAGGGAAAAACAAUGGCACAAAGUUGGGCACACUUUUGUUCUUAGUUUUACACAAAUGAAUUAUUAGAUUUUUAAACUUAUGUUGUAAAAAAAAAAAGGACAACUAAACAAAAAAAAAAAAAAGAGGAAAUGAAAAGAAUAGAGAUGAAGCUGAAACACAAAUAGUCAAACUCUCAUUCCACAUUUGUUGAUCUAUUUGAAAUGGUCUUUUUUAUCAUUUGCAAAAUUCUUUUCUUACCAGAAGUUUUCCAAAACUAAAGACACCACCUUUUAAAUACCAAAAUUCAUUAAUUAUAGUAACGUUAUUCACAUUAACGAGUGCCCAUUGAACAUCCGUGGACCAAUUAACAAAUAUGUGAAAUGAGGCUUUAAUAGAUUUAAUGACAAUAAUAGUUUUCUCGACUGUACUUCUCGGAUGAGUAGCUCACCCUCAAGUAUUUUUAUCUCUCUUUUUCGAGAAGAAAAUAUUAAAAAGAUAGGUUUUCUUGAGCAAACAUUAAUCUUCUAUCAAUCACAGAUAAACUUGUACGCACAAAAAAAAGAAAAAGAAAAAUAGAAAAUGAUACAAGUAGUACAACUAGUCAACCCAAAGGAAAACUUAGAAUCCAUUUGGAUUGCAUUUUUUUUUUUUUUUUUUGGAGAGUUUUGUAGAAGAAUUCAUGUGACGAUUUUUUUUUUAGGUGUGAUGUAUAUAAGGUAAAAAGGUAAUUGAAAAAUGUGAAAAUGAAUAAUUUGAUGGAAACUCAAAAAAAUUUUCCACUGAAAGUACAACCCAAACAAGGCCAAAUUAUUUACCUUCGGAAUGCUAGAGGCUUUGAGAAGUUCUGUAUAGUGCAAACAAAGCAGUAUUGGUUUACUUUAGAGAAUUGAAAUUAUCUUCCUCAAUCAGUACAUCGAAAUGCAAAAGAAAACAAAUCCAUCCAGCCUAAACUUAUUUUCAAUUGAAGUAUGAAAUUAUCCUGAAUUAAUGCCUUUACAUAGAUAGCUCUCAUUACCCUUACUCCUUCUACUCAUCAUGUUCAACUUUUGGUCUGUAAUCUGCUGAGGUGCACAGAUGUUGCACCUUGCCUGAGCUAUAUUAAUGGUAUUUGCAUUUAGUUGCCACUUAGACAUGAGGUAAUAUGCAUUUGUCUUCUUAACAUCUAUAUAUAUAUGUGUGUGUGUCUGUCACAGAAGGAGCACCUGUAGUACAUUUUAAGUUGUACCCAAUUUAAGCUUAAAUGUGUAAUUAAGUGACACACCUACUGCAAUUGUAACUCAUAAAUAAAUAUGCUUAAUUACCCAAAAAAUAAAAUAAAAUAAAAAACUCACAAUACAUACCAAGAAUCUUUAUAAAUGUAUUUUUGAGCAUUUUAAUUAAUCUUUAUAAAUCUUAAUUUAAGAAUAUAGAGAUGCUUUAAUUACGUAGUUGUCAAUUCUAAUUCUUGAACAAUUUUGUUAAGCCUGUUGUUACAUCAGUUUCCCUCAUUUUCUAAGACAUUUCCAUAUCAGAAACUGAAAAAAAAAAAAAAAAACAUGUUUUUUAGCUACCCAAAUAUAUAUAUAUAUAUACAUGUUUUUUUUUUAAUGAAUUCUGCGUAUUUGAUGCCUACUGUUGAGUGUUAUCCAAUACUGCUACUAAAUAUUCAUACAUCAAUAUAUGCAUAUCUCUAAUUACAACUAGUACUUUGAUAUAAUUAAGCAUAUAACUAUGAAGAAAAUUGAUUAUAUAUUUGUAAGGUCUGCUGCUUCUGUUGGCCGACUUAAUUGGUGGCCACGAGAACUCUCAUUUUCAUCCAAGUCUGGCGACGUACCCCAUUUUGCAUGGGGGCAAUCCGCCAUCUCCAUUGAUGGAAGUUGUUGUUUUAGCCAGUAGAUCGAGGACGGACCAUAUUGGGCUCCUCGCCAGGAGCUGAACCCAGCUGGACCAGAGCCAUCGGUGUUCAAUCAGGGCAUAGACUGCACUACUUCUGCUGAUCGUGUGGAGCUUAACAUAGAGCAGCUGCCGCAUCUUUUUCCCUCUAUAUUACCGGCGACUGCAAUGCAUUAAUACUUCAUCAUGAAACUUCAGACAGCAGCGAACCAGAAAAUUUUUCUUCAUCUUAAUUUCUCUACACUUUGAACCUAGCUAGUUCGUUUUAGUAUGCAGAACUGUUGUUUAGUUGUAAUAUAUUUGGUUUCAAUUUCUCUCAACAAGAAAUUCUAGCCGAUUAAGGGCCGAGAGUAGAUGAAUUUAGUUCAAGAUCUGAAGUGAAUGCUCUCUUAGAAUUCAAGCUCCAUUAUUGAAAACUGAAUAUUCAAGAUUGUGCUGUCUAAACAUCUCACUUUCAUUCGAAUUGCAAUAACACAUAUUUGAAACAAUUGGACCAACAUACUUUAAUAGCUCGUGUGAAACAAUUUAGGGCACUUCUAAGCUCUAGAUGAUGAAAUGUGCAACCUUCGUGAAAAAUAUAGAUUUAAUUUAAUUAUUCUAAAAGAAAAAGUAUAAAAAAAAAAAAAAAAAUCCAUGGCCUAGUUAUUUCCAAAACAGAAAUUAAAAAUUUUUACUUAAGACUAUAGACUAGUGCAUUCACAAUACCACCCCAAAAUGGAUGUUUAACUAGCUAGCUAAUAUGGCAUGUAUUUCAAUAUAUGAUAUGUUAAGAAAAUAAAUACACCAUUAAAGUCCAUAUUUGCAUGUACAUUUUUAUGUGACAAUGUAAACAUUACACACUCAAGAGUCCAAGUAGGACUAAUGUCCAGCUGAAUACAUCCCAUCCCAGAAGGUCCUUGUCUGAAACCUUGAGAGCUGAUAGUAGUAGCAUCAGUACCUAAAAAUUCCAGCCACCCCAGAAGCUAGCAGAACCACCAGGUAAUUAAUUACAUAUACAAGAGCAAAAGGUACAAAACUAGUCCCAAUUUCAUACUUUGGAACAUGAGUAGUGAAGUUAAUAACUUUUUUUUUCUUGAUUUUUUGGACUUGCUUGGUUUAGAUUAUGAAAGUCUAGACUGAACUGUUGUCCAAUUGGGCUAUAAAUGCUGUGAUCAAUGUCUUUUUGGAUUUCACUAAAUUCCUUUUUUGCACUAUCUAUGACAUCAAAUUCAACUUCUACAAGAGAAGAACUUGCGAACAAUGGUUUUUAGGUUUGUAAUCCUGGGUGCACACAUGUUGCACCAUGCCUGCGCUAUACUGGUAUAGCAUUGAGUUUUCACUUUGGCAUAAGGUAAUAUGUGCAUUAAUCUUCUUACCAUCUAUAUCCGUCGAAAAGAUCAUCUAACCUGGAUUUUACUGCUUUUAGAUGAACUCUUAAUUAUGAAUAUCGUGUUAAGAAUCUAGGCCAAAGUUCAAUGUCUGAUUAAAUUCUUUUUUGGCAACUGAUAUCAUCUAAGAAAACAUCAUUAUAUUUAUAGAGUGAUUUUGCCAUUAGACGAAUAUUUGGAAAAAUAAAAAAAUUAGGAUGAGACUGCUCUAUCAAGGGUUUUAAUCUGUAGGUCUAACAUUUUGUUCUACUAAAGGUUGAUUGGUGUGAGUAAUGUAUCAACUCUAAACAAAUUAUUGGGAAUCCAUUACAAGUAAUAUCUGCUACUUCUAGGUAGAUUGAAGAUUGAAGUAUAGUGGCAAUUAAGCAAAUUUUGUUGUGAAAAUCUAGACUGGACUCUUGUCCACUUGGCCAUAAUUUUUGCAAUCUUUAAGUGCCUAAGAAACUAGCUUAAUAGAAGUGCAUGAAGCGUUACAACUAUUAUGAUCCCAUGAAGCUAGUAACAAGGCUGCUAGGCCAAUCUCUUCCUUUGUUCUAUGAACCCUACAACCACCAGAGACUUUGUUCUGUGGUCGGGCAGAAAUUGUACGCAUGAAUGGAGCCCCAUCCACCCACAAAUCCACCACCAAAAGAAAAAGGCGGAAGAGCAACAGAUGAUGUGAUUUCCCAAUACUAUCACAUAAGAUCAGCUUUCCCUCCUCCUCUUGCCCGGGCUUGGGACCGGCUGUCUGUGGAGACAGGCGGAGUUACAAAGCCAUCCUACCAAACAAAACAGCACAAGCAUACAAGCCAGCCACAUUCAAGAACAAUAGAGAAGAAAGUUAUCCCCACCAAAAGGCAAGCUACAAACGUCUCAGCAAUCUCACAAAUAGCGAAAUAGACUUGCAACAAUCCAUACCAGAGUACAAGAGAACUCUACGAAUAGCACAGCACACCUUUCCUUAAUAAUAUACCUUUUUUUUUUUUUGGGGGGGGGGGGCCGCGGGGAGGAGGGUUUUUAAGUGUCCACACGGAGGGGGGGCCUUCAAACCCAUUAGACAGCCUUGAAUUUACCAAUUAGAUCACAAAUUACCACACAUUCCUUCAAGUGACUAAAAAAAAUAAAAAUAAAAAUUUUAAAAAUUGAUGCUAAAAAUUUUACAUAAUGCUAAAGGCUGAUAAAAGAUCAAAAAUUACAUAGUGCAAUCAUCCAACAACAAAUAGACCCUACUUAUGGGACUUAAAAAGUCAACACACAUCACAGGGGCUUAAGCUACACAGGUAAAUCAUACAGAGAAUGACAAGUUGCCCUGGAAAACGGGAACUCUUUCAUUUCUUGAAUCCACCGAAAUCAACCUCAAAAGUUGUACGCACUUCAAAUAAAUUAAUGAUUUUCAAGACUUGUACACAAGGGCAUUUGGAUUCCUCUCAAUCUGUCAAUCAUUUAUGAUUGGUUAUAUGAACACAAUACACCUGUGCCAGGGCCUGUUAAGAUGCAACCACCUUCCCAAAACCACAACGCAUACAACUAUUGCAGAUCUUAGAUUGGACCUCUUGAUGCCACACCAUAACUGUUAAAGGCCACAAGCAAAUAUUGUCCAAUAAACCCAAGGAUAACAAAAUUCAGUUGCACUUUAAAGUUGCAUACUAAACCUAUGUACCAGAGGAUCACAAAAUUCAAGUAUGAAAUGAAAUUCACAAACAGUACCAGUACCAGUGGUAUGUAAGUUGAUGACUACGAAGACAGAUAUUGCACGCAUCUGUUCUUACAUGACUUAACAAUACCAGUACUGAUACCAGUUGUAUGCAAGUCGACGACUCUGAAAACAGAUAUUGCAUGCAUCUGUUCUAACAAGAUUGAACCGGCAUCUGCUUAUGAAGUGAGAAUAACCACCUGACACUGCUCUCUUCCACUCAAUUGUAGAUAAUGAACGCCAGCAGCGAGUACUCAAUGGUGAUGGAGAAACAGUUGAAGUUAUUGUGCAUAGUAACGGACAAACCAGUUAAAACAUACAAAAAACCCAAGAAAGGAUAGGAGGCAAGAAAUACACCCCCAACUUGACCAUGACCAUGAACUUGAUAAUCCAUACUGAGUUGCAUCUUAGGCCACACCCCAUAGUAUAUCAGAAGUUUCCACAUUCAAAGUCGUCAAAUCAAAUUCCAUGCAGACUAGAAAGCACUUCAUCUUUUCCAUCCAUAUGACUUAAAAGGAGAAACAGAAAUAGAAAUCCCAAUUUCUGGACAUUGAACUCAAGAACUGGCUGAGGUAAAGAUAUCUUAAAUUCACUGGAAUAAGCAUGCUUGCUACAGAAUAUACAAUACUCUGCUAAAUACCACCAUAACUCCAGAUAACGCUCAUACUAUCAAAGCAGAUUCUGCAAACUUCCCAGUAUAUUAACACCACCAUCAUGAAUAAACCUGGACAAACAAAAUGACACUACGGCUAAGCUCAGACAUAUCCAUUACAAAUGAUCAGGAUAAGAAACCUCUACAUCUGUUUUGAUUUCAUGUUGAUCGGUAGUAUGCAAUUAGGAUAACUGUGCAGAAGCUAGGUAGAAUGGGUUAGUAAUGCAGAAAUUCAGGCUUGAAAACACAGAUCUGACUUCAACUCCCAGCCCUUCCUGAAAUUGAAUGCCGUAAUUUAAUUUUAAAAACUACGUAGUACUGUACAAAGAGAACCAAACACAACCACAAGAGAGAAGAAACUCCUUUGGAAUCAUGCAGACCACAAUACCCGGUGACAAAAUGACCAGAGAUUCUUGAAUUCAAGCUCCCUCAAAUGAAGACCAGAUAAAGCCAAGUUAAUAACAACUCAGCAAAUGCAACAGACCAAGUAGGGAUAUCAGAGAGAGAGAGAAACUCCUCUGAAAUCAUACAGACCACAAAAUCAGAUGAGACAAGAAAUUCUUGAAUUCAAGCUCCCUAAAUGGAAACCAAAUAAGACUCAAGUUAAUAAUGAGCCCAACAAUCAUCACAUUCAGCAUAUGACAGACCAGGUAGGGAUGAGAGAGAAAUCAAUCCGGAUCAUGGUGAACCAUAAAUUUUCUCAUCCCUCCAAUAAAGUUCUUUGCAUCUCCUAAUAAUUCACCCCAUCUGUUAUUCUAUAACAAAAACGUCAAAUAGUGACAGAGAGAGUUUUGACAUAUCAAGAAGCUAAUUGAGGUCAAAAUUUUCCAAAAACUUAUAAUAGACCCUGAAAAACAUGACAAACCAAAUAUUCCUAUUCCCCCUCUUUUUUCUUUCGAUACUCGCUAAUGAACUCAAUAAUAAAAACGCUGAAAACACAGCAUAUCUGGAGAACCAUCAUGACUAAUUCAGAAUUCAUCCAUCAAAAGCUAAUGAAUUGAUGUAAUAUAUGUGAAACAUCCCACCGUACAACUCAAUUCCAUAAGGCCUAAACCAUUACCUUGACCCUAUUACUUGAAAAACCUAACCAUGAUCAAAACUCCUGAAUCCAAUCUGCAGAAUUAAACAAAUUAUAAAGCCUGAAUAAUGCGCCAGUGAUGUUCUCAACAAACACAAUAACAGAAUGACAUGAAGAGAGAUUCCAUGAUUCAAACCACAGUACCAUGGAUAUCUGAAAAAGAAUUAUCAUCCAAGAGACCUCUAUUUCUUCACAGUCCUCUCGCUAGGACUAGAGUUCUGCAAGGGAGUACCAGGACAUCAGAACCCAACUUAAACUCGACACCAAGAUGAAAACCAAUAUCAGAGCUGUCCAUUAGUUCCAACUACCCAGAAAUUUAAAUUAUAUUACAUACCAUCAGAACUGAUUAAAAUACGAAGCCUAACGAUAAUUCUCUUUAGAUCAUGAUGAGUUAUCAAAACACCAGGAACCGCCUAUACAUACAAGUUCAAUGGCAGAAUUAGAUAAAUUUACAAUAAAACAAUCCCCAAAGAAAGAAAAAGCCUGGGAUUAAGCUAAUUGUAAAUUAAUGAAGAAGAAAGUAAAAUAGGUGCAAGUGAAUUAAAUGGGCAGGUCGCAGGUGACCAAUAAUUAACAGUUGGGAUUAAGCAGUCAUACACAAUUGCUAUUCUCUUCCUUGAUGCAUAAGGUAUUUCCAAAAACAAGAAAAUUUUUAAUUAAAUUUAAAUUAUAUAAUAGCCUACACACAUCAGAAGGACCAAAGCCCAAAAAAUCCUCAAGGAGGAAGGAAUGGUAAGACUAGGUAAGAAGACAAACGCCCUCCAAAAUAAUGUACUAGCCUUUGAUCUGAGGAUAGAGACCUUAAAGUUUUCACCACACCUCCAAAUCACUGGAAUCCUAGACUUAACACAAAAUAAUAUACCAAAUUAAGAACAAGUAGAGAAAAUCAUUUUUCAAGAAAAUGAACCCAAAAAAAAAUUAAAAGAGAGUAGGGAAAGAGAGAGCAAAUCAAAAUCUUAUCACAACCGAGUAGCAGGAUGAUACUCUCGCAGUUCAAGCUUCCCUAAAAUCAAGACAACAGAUAGAAGCCAUCACCAAAUAUCCCCAGUGAAUUUUUCAAGGAAAGAGAACAAAGAAAGACCAUGUUGCCAAGAAAAGCCCCCGAUUUAAUUCACAUCUAUGCAAAAGAAAGCUCUUCUCGCCUCCACACACCAGAAGUCCACUAUUCUUGAAAGACGGCAUCAAAAGAACCAGAGAAGAAACACAGAUCUUGAAACAUCACCAUGAUCGAAACAAACAGCAAUGCAACAGUGAUACAGAAAGCAAAACUCCAGAUAACGGAUUACGUUCACAGCCAUCCAAUAAGUCUAAGAAUCAUCACAUCCAAAAGCCCAUAUUCAGUCACCACCCUCAGGAGGAUUCUGCAAGCGAGUGAAAACAUAAACAGCCAACAGAGACUGAACUUGGCACAAAACUGAAAUAAAAAUUGUAGAUCAUCUACCAUAUUAUCAAAACCAAUAUAUGUAGCAUUUAUUCUUCUUCAGACCAUGAUGAAUCAGCGACACCAAAAUCCCUACCUAUACAAACAUGUUAGAUAAAAGAAUUUAAUUACCGUUAGAUACCAAGCACCGCAGAGCCAUCACCCAAAGAGAGGUCCUGGACUAAGCUAAUCCAUCAAGAGCCAAGUAAAGAACAAUUGGGUACGAUAACUUUAGCUUAAUUGACUGGGCAGAUUGAAAGUGAUUCAUACAGUCCAGAAAUAAACAAAGUUGAGAAUAAGCAGAGAGAUACGCUUGAUUAUACCCCCAUCUAUUUCUCAUGAAUCAGGAAAGUCAACUCUGCCGAAAUUACUGCCAGACCAAAUAACGGACACAAUAAGAAAAUAAGAAAUAUUACAAAUAAGGUGUCAAAACCCCUAAAUUCCUCAUGCACAAACAAUACAGACAGAGCAAAUCUACCAUCCAGAGAUCUCUCAUUGAUUCGAAGGAAAAAACAGAACAAGUAGGGGAGGAGCUUUCUCCAAAAUCUUGUAGACCAGAAUAGCAGGGUAACAAACAUGACGAGAAUGCUUUGUGAUCCAAGCUAUCCUAAAAUGAAGACAACAUCGAGAUGCCAUUACCAACAAACACCAGUGAUUUUUAGGCAAAAAGGAACGAACAAGAGAACUCCUGAUCUACCACGUCAAUCCAUAGCUCUUUUUGCCACCAUAUGUAGAACUCCACCAUUCUAAGACAACCACACCAAAAGAACCAGAGGGGAAAAGACAAUCUUGAAAAAUCAACAAGGAACAUUCAAGAAGUACUCAACAUACUACAAAACCGCAAAGUGUAGGCCUUCAUGAUCAAUUCUCAACACCACAGAGAAACUUCUGAAACCCAGAGCCACCACCUAUAGCAACUCCAGCUAGACAACAAAAAAAAAAAAAACCACCCAUAGGUCCAAAUAAAAGCUCCAGAUUUUACAUUACAUUCAGACCCAUCCAAUUAAUUCACACACAGUCACAUCCCAGAGACCUCCCCCUGACUAUUGAGUUCGGCAAGCAACACGAAACCAACAAAAAUUUGAAAUUUGAUGCAAAGAUAACUGACAAUGGAACGAACCAACAAUACCAACUUUUUACAAAUUUAGAUCAUCUAUCAUAACACCAAACCUAUUCAUAAAACAAGCAUAAACUUGAUUCUUGUUCAGAUCAUCACGAACCACCAAAACACCAGGAACGACCUGAAAAAACAGGUUUAAUGGCAGAAUUUGAACACUAAGAAAUACUUCAGAACAUCAAAAUCGCCAUACUGGUAAGAUCCUAAGCAUCUGAGAACCGCUCCCCACACGUAGAGAAGCCAUGGGAUUAAGCAAGCCAGAAAUUAAUGGAGAAGCCACAAAAUAGGUGCAUGUGAAUUGAAUGGGCUGGUUGGAGGUGUCCAACAAUUAAUGAUUGGGAUUAAGCAGUGAUACAUUUUCUUCGAGGAUCAAGAACAGACUUCUAAGCAAUUACUGACAUAACAAAUAAUGCAUGAGGUAUUUCUACAAACAUGGUGACUAUGGAAGAACAGAUUCACAAAAAAUUUAGAUUAUUUAAUACUGCACGGACAUCCAAAAGUACCAAAACCAGCACAAUGCUCAAGCAAAAAGGAACCAUAAGCAUAGGUAAGAAGAUAAACCCUCCAAAAUAAUAUAGCAGCCUUUGAUCUGAGGACAGAGACCUAAGUUUCAACCACACCUCCGAAUCACUGAAACCCUAGAUUCAACACAAAAUAAUAUAGCAAAUUAGAUAACAAGUAAAGAAAAUCAUUUUUGAAGAAAACAGCCAACAAAACAAAAGAGUAGGGAAAGAGAGAGCUCAUCCAAAAUCUUGUUAAAAAACUGAUUUGCAGGGUACCAAACACACCAACGCUCCUGGAACAAGCUUCCCUAAAAUCAAGACAACAGACAGAAGCCAUCACCAUCCAUCCCCAGUGAUUUUUUCAGGCAAAGAGAACAAAGAAAAACCAGGUUGAAAAGAAAAUCUCCCAAUUUUAUUCACAUCCAUCCAAGAGAGCUCUUCUCGCCUCCACACCAGAAAUCCACUAUUCUUGAAAGAGGACAUCAAAAGAACCAGAGAAGAAAAGACAAAUCUUGCAAAAUCACCAAGAACAACACACACAGCAAUUAACGUGAAGUCCUUUUUACCAAUGAACUCUAUAGGGAAACUGCUGAAAAACCAGAGCAACUGCCACCAGCAAUGCAAAAACAAAGCAUCACAUCCAUUCCACAAUUCUAGAAGGGAAUCCCAUAAUUCUAAAGAAGAAUCGCAUCCAAAAGCCCAUGUUCUAUCACCACCCUCAGUAGAGUUCUGCAAGGGAGUAUGAAAACAUGAAUGACCAACAAAGACUUGGCACAAAGAUCGAGAAUAAUCCUAAAAUAAAAUUUGUCAAUAAUUUACCAUACCAUCAAACCAAUAUGCAUAGCCUUAAUUCUUCUUCAAAUCAAGCAUAAUGAGCAAAAUACCAGGAACCCACCUAUACAAAAUGCUUGGUGACGGAAUUUAAUUCCUCUUAGAUACUAAGCAGUGCAGAACCAUCCCCAAAGAGAAGCCCUGAAUUAAGCUAUUCCAUCAAAUCCAAAAGCCAAAAGAAAGCGAACCUUAGGCAAAUUGAAUGCAUAGGUUGAAAGCAUUCAUAGACAGUUUUUCCAGAAAUAAACUGUUGAACAAGCAGAGACAUGCACUUGGUUAUAACCCGUUCUAUUCCUCGUGGAUCAAGAAAGUUGGCUCUGCAAAACAUGCUGCCAGACCAAAAAGAUACAUGGGAAACUUAAAUUAUAAAUAAGGUGUCGAAACCCCUAAAUUCCCCGAACACAAAAAGAACAAUUAGUGUAGGUGAGAAAAUAACUCCCUCCAAAAGAUUUUACUAGCCCUUAAUCUGAGGAUGAAAAGGCAAGUUUGAAUCACGAAUCACUUCACUGAAACCCUAAGUUGCAACAUCCUAGUAAUAUAGAAAAUUAGAGAAUAAGCAGAGCAAAUCCACAAAUUUCCCAAUCAAUAUCAAGGAAACAGCAGAAAACAAGUAGGGAAAGAGAGAGCUCAUCCAAAAUCUUGUAAACCAGAAUAGCAGGGUAACAAGCAUGACGAGAGCGCUCCGAUCCAAGCUUCCCUAAAAUGAAGACAAUGGACAAGCCAUUACCAACGAACACCAGUGAUUUUUAGGCAAAGAACACAAAGAAAGAAUUGGUUGGCAGAAGAGAACUCCCGAUUUAUCACAUUCAUCCUUCCAAGAAGAGCUCUUUUUGAUUGGGUGGUAGUAUCCCACUUAGCAGCAGGUCCCCCCUAUAGGUACAUUUGUCCCACAUCGGGGUUGGGGUUGGGUUUGGGUUGGGAUAUAAGUCCCUGGGAUUGCCUCAAGAGUUGCCGGCUUUUGAGGUUAAUUCUGGGAUUAGGUUUAUAAAACAACAAAAGUCUGAUUCAGGCUGUUGAAAAAAGAAGAGCUCUUUUUGCUUCCAUCCAUCCAAGAAGAGCUCUCUUUGCUUGCAUACGCAGAACUCCAUCAUUCUAAAGCCACGUUAAAAGAACCAGAGAAGAAAAGACAGCCUUGAAACAUCAUCAAGAACCAUUCAAGAAUGACUAGAUCAAUGAACUGCAAAACCUCAAGAUCAAAUCUCAAUCAACACCACAGAGAAAUUGCUGAAACCCAGAGCCACGACCUAUAUUAACACCACCUAAAGCAAUGACAAAAACACCAACGUUGAGCCCAAAAUAAGAGAUUAUGUUCAAAUCCGUCCAAUUAAUACAGAGUCUCGCAUACAAGAGACCUCCCUCUCACUAGAGUUCUGCAAGCGACACAAAAAACCAACAAAAACUGAAAUUUGACGCAAAGAUGGGAACUGACAAAUGAAACUAUUCAAUAAUACCAAUUUUUGACAAAUUCAGUUCAUCGUUCAUCUACAAUAAACCUAUUCACAUAACAAGCAUAAACUUGAUUCUUGUUCGGAUCAUGAAGAACCACCAUAACACUGGGAAAUACCUAGAAAAAACAUGUUUGAUGGCAGAAUUUAAAACCUAAAAAAUACUUGCCAACAUCAAUAUUGCCAUAUUGAUACGAUCCUAAGCAUCUGAGAACCAUUCCCAAAGAUAGAGAAGGCAUGGAACUAAAAUAAAUUCAAAAGCCUAAAGAGAACAAAUAGGCAAAGAUAACUUUGAUAAAGAACAAGCAAAAAAGGUGCAGGCAAAUUGAAUGGAGAGGUUGAAAGCUAUUUCAACGGUGUUUGUCCUGGACUUUAAAAAAAAAAAAAAAAAAAAAAAACUCGGUAAAACAGUCAUAUCAAAAGGUGCCAAAAGCAUAAAUUCCUCAAGAACGAGAUUGUUCGUAAGAAGAUAACUCCCUCCAAAACAGUUUACCAUCCGAGGAAGGAAGGCUCAGUUGUCACCACAAUUCCGAAUCCCUGGAACCCUAUCUUGCACAACACAAAAGUAAUGCAGGAAAUCAGAAAACGAACACAGCUGUCUCACAGAGCAAAUCAGCAUCUAUAGCCACAAAACUCCCAGUCAAUCAACAGAAAACAAGUAAGGACAGAGAAAACUUCUCUGGAAUCUCGUAAACCAGUAUAGCAGGGUAACAAACAUGACCAGACCCUCCUGCAUCCAAGAUCCCCUAUAUCAAUACAACAGAUAGGGCCAGUUACUAAUUGAAUCCCCGGUUAAUUUUUUUCAGGAAAUAAAAAAGGAGACCAAAAAGAGGGACGAGGGAAAAACUCCCGAUAUCGUAUGAUAUUCGCAUCCAGGAAGAGUCUUUUUUAGCCCCACCGAAGACUAGGAUUCUGCCACGCCACAACGAGGACAUCAAAAGAACCAGAAAAAGGAAAGACGAGAAAAAGAAAAGGCGAAAAAUCUAGAUAACAAAGAACGAUCGAGAAAUUACUAAUCAACAAACCCAACAAUAGUAAAAACUCAAUCUUUCU
rnacentral:lncRNA from 1 species